rnacentral:rRNA from 1 species
UCAAGGUAUGAAGGGCGUACGGUGGAUGCCUUGGCACUAGGAGCCGAUGAAGGACGCGACGAACAGCGAUAUGCUUCGGGGAGCAGUAAGUAUGCUUUGAUCCGAAGAUUUCCGAAUGGGGGAACCCACCAUCUGUAAUGGGAUGGGACAUGUUACAUGAAUACAUAGUGUAGCGUGAGGCAGACCCGGGGAACUGAAACAUCUAAGUACCCGGAGGAAGAGAAAGCAAAUGCGAUUCCCUGAGUAGCGGCGAGCGAAACGGGAACAGCCCAAACCGAAGAGCAUGCUCUUCGGGGUUGUAGGACACUCUAUACGGAGUCAAAAAGGAAGACAGUAGGUGAAGGACCUGGAAAGGUCGGCCGAAGAAGGUGACAGCCCUGUAGCUGAAACUGUUUUCCCUCCAGAGUGGAUCCUGAGUACGGCGGGACACGUGAAACCCCGUCGGAAUCCGGGAGGACCAUCUCCCAAGGCUAAAUACUCCCUAGUGACCGAUAGUGAACCAGUACCGUGAGGGAAAGGUGAAAAGCACCCCGGAAGGGGAGUGAAAUAGAUCCUGAAACCGUAUGCCUACAAGUAGUCAGAGCCCGUUAACGGGUGAUGGCGUGCCUUUUGUAGAAUGAACCGGCGAGUUACGAUAACGCGCGAGGUUAAGCCGAUGAGGCGGAGCCGUAGCGAAAGCGAGUCUGAACAGGGCGUUCAGUGCGUUGUCGUAGACCCGAAACCAGGUGAUCUACCCAUGUCCAGGAUGAAGGUCAGGUAACACUGACUGGAGGUCCGAACCCACGCACGUUGAAAAGUGCGGGGAUGAGGUGUGGGUAGCGGUGAAAUGCCAAUCGAACCUGGAGAUAGCUGGUUCUCCCCGAAAUAGCUUUAGGGCUAGCCUCGAGGUUGAGAGUUCUGGAGGUAGAGCACUGAUUGGACUAGGGGCCCCCACAGGGUUACCGAAUUCAGUUAAACUCCGAAUGCCAGCAACUUAUACUCGGGAGUCAGACUGCGAGUGAUAAGAUCCGUAGUCAAGAGGGAAACAGCCCAGACCGCCAGCUAAGGUCCCAAAGUGUAUGUUAAGUGGAAAAGGAUGUGGCGCUGCCUAGACAGCUAGGAUGUUGGCUUAGAAGCAGCCACCAUUCAAAGAGUGCGUAAUAGCUCACUAGUCGAGUGGCGCCGCGCCGAAAAUGUAACGGGGCUAAACAUACCACCGAAGCUGCGGAUUCCGUAAGGAAUGGUAGGGGAGCGUUCCAAACCGCUGUGAAGCUGUACCGGAAGGAGCAGUGGAGCGUUUGGAAGUGAGAAUGCCGGUGUGAGUAGCGAAAAGAGGGGUGAGAAUCCCCUCCGUCGAAAGCCCAAGGUUUCCUGAGGAAGGCUCGUCCGCUCAGGGUUAGUCUGGACCUAAGCCGAGGCCGAAAGGCGUAGGCGAUGGAUAACAGGUUGAUAUUCCUGUACCGCCGAUCCACCGUUUGAACAAUGGGGGGACGCAGGAGGAUAGUGACGCAUGCGGAUGGAAGUGCAUGUGCAAGUUUCAAGACCGUCUGAUUGGCAAAUCCGUCAGGCACCAAAGUCAAGGAACGAUGCGGAGUCCCGUAGGGACGUAGGUCACGAUUUCACACUGCCAAGAAAAGCCUCUAGUGAGGGGGAAGGCGCCAGUACCGUAAACCGACACAGGUAGGCGAGAUGAGAAUUCUAAGACGCGCGGGAUAACUCUCGUUAAGGAACUCGGCAAAAUGGUCCCGUAACUUCGGGAGAAGGGACGCUCUACAUGAGUAGAGCCGCAGUGAAUAGGCCCAAACGACUGUUUAGCAAAAACACAGGUCUCUGCUAAAUCGCAAGAUGACGUAUAGGGGCUGACGCCUGCCCGGUGCUGGAAGGUUAAGGGGAUGGGUUAGCGCAAGCGAAGCUUUGAACCGAAGCCCCAGUAAACGGCGGCCGUAACUAUAACGGUCCUAAGGUAGCGAAAUUCCUUGUCGGGUAAGUUCCGACCCGCACGAAAGGCGUAACGAUUUGGGCACUGUCUCAACGAGAGACCCGGUGAAAUCAUAGUACCUGUGAAGAUGCAGGUUACCCGCGACAGGACGGAAAGACCCCAUGGAGCUUUACUACAGCCUGAUAUUGAGGCUUUGUGCAUGAUGUACAGGAUAGGCGGGAGACGUCGAGCCCGGAGCGCCAGCUUCGGAGGAGUCACCCUUGGGAUACCGCCCUUCAUGCAUAGAGUCUCUAACUCGCAGCCGUGAUCCGGCUGGAGGACCGUGUCAGGCGGGUAGUUUGACUGGGGCGGUCGCCUCCUAAACAGUAACGGAGGCGCCCAAAGGUUCCCUCAGAAUGGUUGGAAAUCAUUCGUAGAGCGCAAAGGCAGAAGGGAGCUUGACUGCGAGACCUACAAGUCGAGCAGGGACGAAAGUCGGGCUUAGUGAUCCGGUGGUUCCGCAUGGAAGGGCCAUCGCUCAACGGAUAAAAGCUACCCUGGGGAUAACAGGCUGAUCUCCCCCAAGAGUCCACAUCGACGGGGAGGUUUGGCACCUCGAUGUCGGCUCAUCGCAUCCUGGGGCUGGAGUAGGUCCCAAGGGUUGGGCUGUUCGCCCAUUAAAGCGGUACGCGAGCUGGGUUCAGAACGUCGUGAGACAGUUCGGUCCCUAUCCGUCGUGGGCGCAGGAAAUUUGAGGAGAGCUGUCCUUAGUACGAGAGGACCGGGAUGGACGCACCGCUGGUGUACCAGUUGUUCCGCCAGGAGCAUCGCUGGGUAGCUACGUGCGGACGGGAUAAAUGCUGAAAGCAUCUAAGCAUGAAGCCCCCUCCAAGAUGAGAUUUCCCUUUGAGUAAUCAAGAAAGACCCCUCAGAGACGAUGAGGUAGAUAGGUCACGGGUGGAAGCAUGGCGACAUGUGGAGCUGAGUGAUACUAAUCGGUCGAGGCCUUGUUCUA